rnacentral:rRNA from 1 species
GACGAACGCUGGCGGCGUGCUUAACACAUGCAAGUCGAACGGAAAGGCCCUGCUUUUGUUGGGUUCUCGAGUGGCGAACGGGUGAGUAACACGUGAGUAACCUGCCCUUGACUUUGGGAUAACUUCAGGAAACUGGGUCUCAUACCGGAUAGGAUCUCCUGCUGCAUGUUGUGGGUUGGAAAGUUUCGGCGGUUGGGUAUGGACUCGCGGCUUAUCAGCUUGUUGGUGGGGUAGUGGCUUACCAAGGCUUUGACGGGUAGCCGGCCUGAGAGGGUGACCGGCCACAUUAGGACUGAGAUACGGACCAGACUCCUACGGGAGGCAGCAGUGGGGAAUAUUGCACAAUGGGCGGAAGCCUGAUGCAGCAACGCCGCGUGCGGGAUGACGGCCUUCGGGUUGUAAACCGCUUUCGCCUGUGACGAAGAGUGAGUGACGGUAAUGGGUAAAGAAGCACCGGCUAACUACGUG